rnacentral:lncRNA from 1 species
UCCUGCCUUCCCCAUGCACAGGCACUGUGGCCACUUCCCAUCCCAGGGCUCAGUUUUGGGGAAGCCACCAAGAAAGAUGUGGGGACAACAGGCUGUGCCCAGCUGGCGGGCAGAGUUUUGGGGCAGGCUGGAGCCUUGGGAGCACCCACACCAGGGCAUGAGCCCACUGGAUCCCAAAACUGGGCCACCCGUGCCACGGGAAGGAGCCGGCCGCUGCUUUACCUUUCUUGCCCUGGCUGAGAGGUGGCAAGACCCCGUCCUUCUUCUUUUUCUCCUUCCCAGGGACUUUCUCUGGGGCCUUGGAUGAUUUCCUGUAUGACGAUUUGGGCACCAGCUCCACUGCAAACCUGCACGCAAGGAGAGGACCCUGGUGUGACAUUCGGCACGAGCUGCCCUUUCUGCUCUCUGUCGUCGCCUGCUCAUGGGCACGUUUUCACAUUCCAUAGAGGCUGCUUUUGGCCAAAUGGUACCAAAAAGGAGCUGAGCAGCUGCACUGAGCAGCCGACUUUGCAAAUAUACUUACUCGGGGAAGAUGACGACACGGCCAGAGGAUGUCAGGGAGGCUAUGACUGCCAGCCGGGACACCACGGUGUCCAUCAGCUGCGGGACCUGCAGGGGGGAGAACAGAGGUGGGAGAAUAUCCCUGGUGGGGGGGAUCCCAAGAUCCCAGAGCGGGCAGGACCGUCCCUUUGGCCUGGCCUGAGCCAUUCCGACAUGCUUUCGGAUUGCCUGGAGCAAAACAAAGCCCCUCACCUUCAAAACGGCAUUCUGAAGGUCCUCCUUGCCACACAGCAUCUCCAGGACGUCGUAGUAGAAUUUCAUCUCCACCCUGGUGCCUUCUAUGAGGAGCACGCCCAGGUCCCUCAGGACGAGGGCGACGUUCUCCCCCUCCCGCAGGCACUGGGAGAUGAGGGCCAUGGUGCCUCGGAUGCAGCUCUCAGCUUUCUGCCAGGACACGCAGGCGUCCGCCGCCACCUCGGCACGUCUCAGGGGCUCCAGCUUCUUGUGGGCUGGAAAACCA